ACAGCCGUUGCACACGAGUCAGUCGAUCCUAAGCCCCAGGAGAAAUCCUUGUUGAUACGCAGUCGAAUCGUUUGUUGCGCACCGGCUUGUCCUCGCGACUCGCACUCCUGACAAACUGACCGUAUCGGGCGAAAAGGAAUCCGGUU
rnacentral:rRNA from 1 species